GGAUGCAGCCGGUGAGUCCGAGGACAGGGCUGGCCCUGCUGUGCCAAGGGGCUCUAGCUGGGGAGAGGGCUGCCUGGACACUCCUGCCUGCAGGAGCUGGCUGAGGAGUGACAGGAAGGGUGUUCCACAGGCAGGUGCCUCCAGCAAGGAACAGCGUGUCGUUGAGCAAGGAAGGAUCCAUCCCGGCCAGAGCACGCCACCAGCACAAGAGUUAAUAAGGUUGGAAAAGGCCUGUGGUAUCAUUGAGUCCAAUCAUCAACCCAACACUACCGUGCCUCCUAAAGCACGUCCUAAAGUGCCACGUAUACGCAUCUUUUGAACGCCUCCAGGGAGGGCAACUGCCCCACCUCUCUGGACAGCCUGUUCCAAUACCUGACGACUCUUCAGGGACAACCUGGUUCUGCACCUUCCAGAUUUCCUUCUUCAACGUCCAGCCUUCCAGGACCCCUUAGCCCUUCAGGACUUCCUCCCAAGGAGCCCUUUCAACCAGUGUCCCGAAGAGUCCAAAGCCUGCCCUCCGCAAGUCCACAGUAUAGAUUUUGCCAGCCCCCCCUUCCUUAUUUUGCCAGGCAUCAGGAAUUCUAUCAGGGUGCAGUCGCUAGGCACAAAAUGGCUUCCAACCCCCACAUCUCCCACCAGUCCUUCUGUUUCUAAAGAGCAGGUCAGUCGAGGCACCUCCCCAGUAGGCUCAUUUACCAGCUGCAUCAGGAAGUUACCUUCCACUUGCUCCAUGAACCUCCUAGACAGUUUCCUCUGCUGCGUUUUCUUUCCAGCAGACAUCUGGUAAGUUCAAGUGCCCCAUGAGAAUAAGGGGUAGCAACUGGGAGAGUUCUGCCAGCUGCCUGUAGAAUUCUUCAGCUACUUCUUCAUUGCAGUCAGGUGGUCUACAGCAGACCCCCAGCUGGAUACCUGCCUCGUUGGCCUUUCCCCUCAUCCUUACCCAUAAGCCGUCAACCUCAUCCUCCCAAUCAUUGAGCUCUCUACAACCAAAACACUACCUAACAUACAGAGCCACCCCACCACAUCUCCUUCCUUGCCUAACCCUUCGUAAGAGAUUAGAGCCAUCCAUCGCAGCACUCGAAUUGUACGAGGCAUCCCACCGCAUCUGGUGAGAAACCGUACUAGGAGCAGCUAAAGUCACUUGGUUUAUUAAGCCUAGAGACAGGGAGACCUCAUCUCCCUCUGCAGCUUCCUCACAAGGGGUGGAGGAGGCACAGGUGCCGAUCAUUUUUCUCCGGUGACCAACAAUAGGACCUGAGGGAACAGCAGGAGGAUGGUCCAGGGGAGGUUUAGGGUGGGUAUUAGGAAAAGGUUUUUCACUCAGAGGGCCACGGAACAGGCUCCCCAGGGAAGCAGGCACAGCACCAAGCCUGACAAUAAUCAAGUAGCACUAGGGCAACACCAUCAGAGGCAUGG